rnacentral:misc_RNA from 1 species
GGAAACUUUUAAUUUCACAUUGUCGGCAAUAUUUUAUCAACAAAAACUUGAUAGAAUACCUGUUAUAUUUAAUUAAUUAUAGCAUAACAAGUGCUAUACCCUUUCUUUUUAAAAUAAAUGUUACUGUGUUCUCUAAGAAUCUAUGUUAAACAAAAAGAGAUCCCAAAUAUAAAGAAAUCCAACAGUGACAAAUUUUGACAACAAAGUAAAAACUACAAAAGCAAGACAAAAUUGAAACAUAAAAAUCUUGUACUACAGUGAAUCAGUAUGAUUUCAAUGGGAAUUAAUACCUUUAA